AAACUUUCAACCAACGGAUAUCUUGGUUCUGGCAUCGAUGAAGAAACGCAGCGCAAAUGCGAUAAGUAAUGUGCAAUUGCAGAAUUCAGUGAAUCAUCGAAUCUUUGAACGCCCAUUGCGCCCAUUAGUAUUCUGUGGGCAUGCCUGUUCGAGCGUCAUU
rnacentral:rRNA from 1 species